CAUAGAGUUURAUCUGGMUCAGGACGAACGCUGGCGGCGUGCCUAAUACAUGCAAGUCGAGCGACAGAURGGAGCUUGCUCCUGAUGUUAGCGGCGGACGGGUGAGUAACACGUGGGUAACCUGCCUGUAAGACUGGGAUAACUCCGGGAAACCGGGGCUAAUACCGGAUGGUUGUUUGAACCGCAUGRUUCAAACAUAAAAGGUGGCUUCGGCUACCACUUACAGAUGGACCCGCGGCGCAUUAGCUAGUUGGUGAGGUAAYGGCUCACCAAGGCAACGAUGCGUAGCCGACCUGAGAGGGUGAUCGGCCACACUGGGACUGAGACACGGCCCAGACUCCUACGGGAGGCAGCAGUAGGGAAUCUUCCGCAAUGGACGAAAGUCUGACGGAGCAACGCCGCGUGAGUGAUGAAGGUUUUCGGAUCGUAAAGCUCUGUUGUUAGGGAAGAACAAGUACCGUUCGAAUAGGGCGGUACCUUGACGGUACCUAACCAGAAAGCCACGGCUAACUACGUGCCAGCAGCCGCGGUAAUACGUAGGUGGCAAGCGUUGUCCGGAAUUAUUGGGCGUAAAGGGCUCGCAGGCGGUUUCUUAAGUCUGAUGUGAAAGCCCCCGGCUCAACCGGGGAGGGUCAUUGGAAACUGGGGAACUUGAGUGCAGAAGAGGAGAGUGGAAUUCCACGUGUAGCGGUGAAAUGCGUAGAGAUGUGGAGGAACACCAGUGGCGAAGGCGACUCUCUGGUCUGUAACUGACGCUGAGGAGCGAAAGCGUGGGGAGCGAACAGGAUUAGAUACCCUGGUAGUCCACGCCGUAAACGAUGAGURCWARGUGUUAGGGGGUUUCCGCCCCUUAGUAGCUGCAGCUAACCGCCA
rnacentral:rRNA from 1 species